AUAGGGGAUCAGCUCCCAUAUAUUAUGAUUGAUGUUACAGGGCCACAGGAGGAUAUUUUGUUCUGGGUUAACCUGCUUUUCUCCUUCGCAGGUGUUUAUCAAUAAUUGUGUAAUUUUAUUUACUCCUAGAAUUUCCGCAUGUGUUAGCAGUAAUUAUUUGAAUUUGGUCUGUAAUAUUAUAUUCAUGUUGGACCUGUAAACUUAAUAUUUUAAGUCUGUUUUGAUGGAUUGGAUGAGGGAGCUGAGCUCCCAUUUAUUAUUA